GGGGGGGGGGGGGGGGGGGGGGGGGGGGGGGGGGGGGGGGGGGGGGGGGGGGGGGGGGGGGGGGGGGGGGGGGGGGGGGGGGGGGGGGCAGGAAUCCACUGGGAGAACUGGAGGUCUCUUUGUGACUUGCAGUGUUUUCCUUUUGCUGGUGGGCGACACGAGUGGAACGUGGAGCCAUUAACGAGCAGAUCUGCAGGGAAAGGGAAUUUCAUGUCCUGUGGAUCAAAGGCAUUUGCUGGGGAUUAAUUCCAUUUAUUUACAAGUUCAGCUGCUUUGUAAACGUCUCCUGGUCGGGCUGUUCCUGUUAACAGCGGCUGGGGCUGUUUUCAAUAACCUUUUAUUUGGAACAAAGCUGGCAGGAACGUUCUCUGCUUUCCUUCAGGCUUGGUGGCAUUGCCUUCCAACUUGCCUGGCCUCAGAGGCUGAGCUUUAACCCCUUGGUGGCCACGGACCCGCUCCAGACAGGCAAUAUCUGGAAGCACUUGGCACAGCCUGCAGGAAUCUGGUUUAAUUCUCCCAGCCCAGCAUUUGACAUGCAAUUAAAAGGCUGCCAGCUUUGCUCAACUCUUAUAAAUUUCUUUUGCAAGUGUGGCUGUUAAAGUUCACUUUUAUCAGCCACCUGUGCCCAGCUUGGCUGUUUCACAGAGGGGCACUGGCCUCAUAAAGGGGAGUUUUUUACAUGUCCUGCUCCAGGGGUUGUGGAGGAGCAUUUCCAGCAGCUGCAGCUGGGAGGGUUUGGGGUUUGCAGCUACUGCAGGUCUCCUGUGGGGUGGGAGCUCGUGUGGGGCCAGGGAUGAUGCACAUGUGGAGAAUUGGCUGGAAAAACUGGACAGGGAGAGGAGCUGCUGCUUGGGCUUCAGGAGCUGGGGGAUCUGGAAGGUUGGAGCAGCCUGAACCCUCCUUGUGGUCUGUCUGGAGCCUGGGGUGAAAAAUAUGAACUGGAACUGUUGGAUUGAGUCUGGAGGAGUCAUGGAAAUGCUGCCAGGAUUCUGGAGCCAGGCUGGGAGAGCUGGGAAUGUUCCCUGGAGAAGGGAAAAUCCCAGGGGAUGCUCAGAGUCCCUGCAGGGGCUCCAGGAGAGCUGGAAUUGGGGACAAGGCCUGGAGGGACAGGACACAGGGAAUGGCUCCACUGGGAAAGGGGAGAUUGGGCUGGGAUCUUGGGAAGGAAUCCCAGCCCAGGCAGGAAUUCCUUCCCAAGAUCCCAGCCCAAUCUCCCCUUUCCCAGUGGAGCCAUUCCCUGUGUCCUGUCCCUCCAGGCCUUGUCCCCAAUUCCAGCUCUCCUGGAGCCCCUGCAGGGACUCUGAGCAUCCCCUGGGAUUUUCCCUUCUCCAGGGAACAUUCCCAGCUCUCCCAGCCUGGCUCCAGAAUCCUGGAAUGGGAUGGGUUGGGAGGGAUCUUAAAGAAGAUCCUGAUCCAAACAUCUCCCUCCAUCCCAGGGGGAUCCAGCCCGGCCUUGGGCACUGCCAGGGAUCCAGGGGCAGCCACAGCCAAUCUGGGAAUCCCAGCCCAGGCAGGAAUUCCUGCCCAAAAUCCCAUCUCUCCCUGCCCUCUGGCAGUGGGAAGCCUUUCUUCCCUUCUGAUUUUUAUAUUAUUUUGAGGGGUUAAAGACUCAUGCUGUGAAUUGGCCUUCACAAUUCUGAAACGAAUAUUCAGGGUUUCAGCCUAAAAUCUGAAUAUUGAGAUGCAAAUUCUGGAUGUGCAGAGUGCUGGAAGGGACCCCCAAGGAUCAUGGAAUCCUCCCCUUGUGGAAUUGGGUCUGGUGGUCUCGUUCAUUCCAGGGAAUCAUCAGUGCAAUCAGGGAAUGAUCCACCUGAACGUUCUGUGCAGCUGCAGAGAGGAACAUUUAAUUAAUUCUCAGCUAAUUACCCUGAUGAGCCGGUCCAGCUCCCAGCAAGGACGUUUUCCCAGCUGCUGUGUGGAGGCCAGAUGGGAGCUCAGGCUGUGAUUAGGGCUUGGCUUGCCCCUCCUGAGGCUCCUGGCAGGUAAUCAGUGUGUUUUUCCCAUUUUUCUGGGAAUUAGGCCCACAGGGAUGUCCAGGAGGUGUUUCAGUGUGAAUGGAAG
ensembl:lncRNA